GGCCUAGUAGCGUAAUUGGUAGCGCGUUCGACUCCAGAUCGAAAGGUUAUCCGUUCAAGUCGGGUCUGGGUCA
rnacentral:tRNA from 1 species